CUUUUCGAGGUAGGAGUCGACUCCUGUGAGGUAUGGUGCUGGGUGCAGAUGCAGUGUGGCUCUGGAUAGCACCUUAUGGACAGUUGUGUCCCCAAGGAAGGAUGAGAAUAGCUACUGAAGUCCUAAAGAGCAAGCCUAACUCAAGCCAUUGGCACACAGGUGAGACACCUCUAUUUUGUACUUCUCACUUUUAAGGGAUUAGAAAAUAGCCAAAGCAAUGAUGAUUAUCUAUGUUAGUGCUUCUCUCCCCUCUUUUCAAAUGAGAAUUUUGCUCUCAUAUUGAUACUAAGUUUAAUACUGAAGAAAAUGUGAAAACAGAUACUAUGAUGGUUGCAUAGUUCAGCAGAUUUAAUCAUGAAGAGAUGUACUAUCUGUCUGAUGUAUCUGGGGUAGUUGUGGUUUGCUGUUAAUGGUUAAGCAGUGUACCACCAAUCUACCAUUAAAAUAUUUUUUGCUGACAAUUUUGUAUUAAAAUUACAGGCAUUAGACAGAAAGCUGGAAGUUGAAAUGGUGGAGUCCAACUUGCCUGGACCAGCUUAAUGGUUCUGCUCCUGGUAACGUUUUUAUCCAUGGAUGACUUGCUUGGGUAAGGACAUGAAGACAGUUCCUGUCAUACCUUUUAAAGGUAUGGAGAGUCGGCUUGACUACACUGUGUGGAGCAAGUUUUAAAGAAGCAAAGGACUCAGAAUUCAUGAUUGAAGAAAUGCAGGCAGACCUGUUAUCCUAAACUAGGGUUUUUAAUGACCACAACAAGCAAGCAUGCAGCUUACUGCUUGAAAGGGUCUUGCCUCACCCAAGCUAGAGUGCAGUGGCCUUUGAAGCUUACUACAGCCUCAAACUUCUGGGCUCAAGUGAUCCUCAGCCUCCCAGUGGUCUUUGUAGACUGCCUGAUGGAGUCUCAUGGCACAAGAAGAUUAAAACAGUGUCUCCAAUUUUAAUAAAUUUUUGCAAUCCA
ensembl:lncRNA GAS5 growth arrest specific 5